AGGCCAGCGCGUUGCGGAUGCGCGCCACGGCGCUGAUGGUGUUGGAGCGCGGGCGCAGGUGCAUCUUCUCGCGCAGGAACUCGUACGUGGUCUUCUUCUUGGCAAUGGGGUAGGUGGCGGCGUCCGAGGGGCCCACGUGCACGAUCUUGGUGGCCUUCAGCUCCACGGCCUGAGGGAAACGCAAACGAGGGGCAGAGAGGGUGCAAGGGGGGGAGUGCUGGUUCGUUGCCGCGUUCACGUUUUGCAUCUUCUCACGACUACAUGCAUGUUGCAAUCGUGUCCCGUAACCCUCCCAAACCGUGAGCAUCGCCAACCGUGCAGCCCCAGCCCCAGCCCACAGACUGCCUUCAGCUCAAGGCCUGCAUCUGUGCGCCCCCCGCCCCCUCCAUGUCUGCGCCCCACCUGCUUGGUGCCCUCAGGGGUGGCCUCCAGGUGGCCCUCCACCAGCACCGAGGUGCCGGUGGGCACCAGCGUCUUCAGGCCGCCUACCUCCUCCGCCACCUCCUUCGAC
rnacentral:lncRNA from 1 species